rnacentral:rRNA from 1 species
UACGUAGGGUGCGAGCGUUAAUCGGAAUUACUGGGCGUAAAGUGUGCGCAGGCGGCCGCGCAAGUCGAGUGUGAAAGCCCCGAGCUUAACUUGGGAACUGCGCUCGAAACUACGUGGCUGGAGUGUGGCAGAGGGAGGUGGAAUUCCACGUGUAGCGGUGAAAUGCGUAGAGAUGUGGAGGAACACCAAUGGCGAAGGCAGCCUUCUGGGCCAACACUGACGCUCAUGCACGAAAGCGUGGGGAGCAAACAGG